rnacentral:rRNA from 1 species
AUUGAACGCUGGCGGCAGGCCUAACACAUGCAAGUCGAGCGAGCGGCGGACGGGUGAGUAAUGUAUGGGGAUCUGCCCGAUAGAGGGGGAUAACUACUGGAAACGGUAGCUAAUACCGCGUACCAUAGGAUGAGCCCAAUGGGGAUUAGGUAGUUGGUGAGGUAAAGGCUAACCAAGCCGACGAACUCUAACUGGUCUGCGAGGAUGACCAGCCAACUUGGAACUGAGACACGGCCCAGACUCCUACGGGAGGCAGCAGUGGGGAAUAUUGGGAAAUGGGGGAAACCUGACGCAGCCAUGCCGGGUGAAUGAAGAAGGCCUUCGGGUUGUAAAGUUCUUUCGGUAGCGAGGCGUUAACUACAGAAGAAGCACCGGCUAACUCCGUGCCAGCAGCCGCGGUAAUAC